rnacentral:rRNA from 1 species
AUUGAACGCUGGCGGCAGGCCUAAUACAUGCAAGUCGAACGCAGUUGCGAACGGGUGAGUAUCGCGUCGGUAACUGCCUCCUAGCGGGGGAUAACUAUUGGAAACGAUAGCUAAUACCGCAUACUGUGAGAUGGACCUGCGUUGUAUUAGGUAGUUGGUGAGGUAAAGGCUCACCAAGGCGACGAUACAUAGCCGACCUGAGAGGGUGAACGGCCAAAAUGGGAAUGGGACAGGGCCCAGACGCCUAAGGGAGGCAGCAGGAGGGAAUCUGGGGAAAAGGACGGAAGUCUGACCGAGCAAAGCCGCGUGAGGGAAGAAGGGUGUCGGAGCGGAAAGCUCUGGUGUGAGAGAAGCGGUAACUAACCAGAAAGGGACGGCUAACUACGUGCCAGCCGCCGCGGUAAUAC